rfam:Ictidomys tridecemlineatus contig104526, whole genome shotgun sequence.
GGGGAUGUAGCUCAGAGGCAGAGCACUUGCCUAGCAUGAGCAAGGCCCUGGGUUCAAUCCCCAGCAGCACCC